UUGCUAACUUCUGCAGUGCACACACCAAAACUGGAAUGACAAAGAAGAUUCACAUGGCCCCUUGCACGAGGAUGACAUGCAAAUUUAUAAAAUGUCCCAUAUUUCA
rnacentral:snRNA from 1 species